UACGUAGGGGGCGAGCGUUGUCCGGAAUCAUUGGGCGUAAAGCGCUCGCAGGCGGUUUAAGAAGUCUGAUGUAAAAUCCUACGGCUCAACCGUGUACCGGCAUUGGAAACUGUUAAACUUGAGUGAAGGAGAGGAAAGUGGAAUUCCUAGUGUAGCGGUGAAAUGCGUAGAGAUUAGGAGGAACACCAGUGGCGAAGGCGGCUUUCUGGACUGCAACUGACGCUGAGGAGCGAAAGCAUGGGGAGCAAACAGG
rnacentral:rRNA from 1 species